GAUGAAGAACGUAGCGAAAUGCGAUAAGUAAUGUGAAUUGCAGAAUUCAGUGAAUCAUCGAAUCUUUGAACGCACCUUGCACCCUUUGGCAUUCCGAAGGGUAUGCUCGUUUGAGUGUCAUUGUACUCUCACACUCUCCGAUCCUAUGGAUUCGGGGAGCGGUGGACUUGGGUGUUGCUGCCUUUCCUUGUGGCUCACCUCAAAUGUGUCAGUGCACCUCUUGGUUGGACAUAGUACGGCGUGAUAAGUGUCUUCGCCGGCACCUCGCAAGAGGGUGGCCGAUCGGUAGCUCUGUGCUUUCAAACCGUCUUCGGACAAUUUCUGACAACUUGACCUCAAAUCGAGUAGGACUACCCGCUGAACUUAAGCAUAUCAAUAAGCGGAGGA
rnacentral:misc_RNA from 1 species